AGAGUUUGAUCCUGGCUCAGAUCGAACGCUGGCGGCAGGCCUAACACAUGCAAGUCGAACGGUAACAGGAAGCAGCUUGCUGCUUUGCUGACGAGUGGCGGACGGGUGAGUAAUGUCUGGGAAACUGCCCGAUGGAGGGGGAUAACUACUGGAAACGGUAGCUAAUACCGCAUAACGUCGCAAGACCAAAGAGGGGGACCUUCGGGCCUCUUGCCAUCGGAUGUGCCCAGAUGGGAUUAGCUAGUUGGUGUGGUAACGGCUCACCAAGGCGACGAUCCCUAGCUGGUCUGAGAGGAUGACCAGCCACACUGGAACUGAGACACGGUCCAGACUCCUACGGGAGGCAGCAGUGGGGAAUAUUGCACAAUGGGCGCAAGCCUGAUGCAGCCAUGCCGCGUGUAUGAAGAAGGCCUUCGGGUUGUAAAGUACUUUCAGCGGGGAGGAAGGGGAUGU
rnacentral:rRNA from 1 species